GUCCACGCCGUAAACGAUGUGUGCUAGUUGUCGGGACUCUGGUCUCGGUGACGGAGCGAAAGUAUUAAGCACACCGCCUGGGGAGUACGGCCGCAAGGUUAAAACUCAAAGGAAUUGACGGGGACCCGCACAAGCGGUGGAGCAUGUUGUUUAAUUCGAAGCAACGCGAAGAACCUUACCCACACUUGACAUCCUCCUUGGGACUUACAGAGAUGUUUGUCUUCGGUUCGGCCGGGGGAGUGACAGGUGCUGCAUGGCU
rnacentral:rRNA from 1 species